UACGGGGGGGGGCGAGCGUUGUUCGGAAUUAUUGGGCGUAAAGGGCGCGUAGGCGGUGUGGUAAGUCUGUUGUGAAACCUCCAGGCUCAACUUGGAGCUUGCAUCAGAAACUGCCGUGCUAGAGUGUGGGAGAGGAGAGUGGAAUUCCUGGUGUAGCGGUGAAAUGCGUAGAUAUCAGGAGGAACACCGGUGGCGAAAGCGGCUCUCUGGACCACAACUGACGCUGAGGCGCGAAAGCUAGGGGAGCAAACAGG
rnacentral:rRNA from 1 species